rnacentral:rRNA from 1 species
UACGGAGGGUCCAAGCGUUAUCCGGAAUCAUUGGGUUUAAAGGGUUCGCAGGCGGUUUAAUAAGUCAGUGGUGAAAUCUCUCGGCUCAACCGAGAAACUGCCAUUGAUACUGUUAGACUUGAAUAUAGUUGGAGUAGGCGGAAUGUGUAGUGUAGCGGUGAAAUGCUUAGAUAUUACACAGAACACCGAUAGCGAAGGCAGCUUACUAAACUAUUAUUGACGCUCAUGAACGAAAGCGUGGGGAGCGAACAGGAUUAGAUACCCGGGUAGUCC